rnacentral:rRNA from 1 species
GAUGAACGCUGGCGGCGUGCCUAAUACAUGCAAGUCGAGCGAACGGACGAGAAGCUUGCUUCUCUGAUGUUAGCGGCGGACGGGUGAGUAACACGUGGAUAACCUACCUAUAAGACUGGGAUAACUUCGGGAAACCGGAGCUAAUACCGGAUAAUAUUUUGAACCGCAUGGUUCAAAAGUGAAAGACGGUCUUGCUGUCACUUAUAGAUGGAUCCGCGCUGCAUUAGCUAGUUGGUAAGGUAACGGCUUACCAAGGCAACGAUGCAUAGCCGACCUGAGAGGGUGAUCGGCCACCCUGGAGCUGAGACGCGGUCCAGACUCCUACGGGAGGGAGCAGUAGGGAAUCGUACGCAAUGGGCGAAAGCCUGACGGAGCAACGCCGCGUGAGUGAUGAAGGUCUUCGGAUCGUAAAACUCUGUUAUUAGGGAAGAACAUAUGUGUAAGUAACUGUGCACAUCUUGACGGUACCUAAUCAGAAAGCCACGGCUAACUACGUG